rnacentral:rRNA from 1 species
AGAGUUUGAUCAUGGCUCAGAAUGAACGCUGGCGGCGUUAACACAUGCAAGUCGAACGAGAAAGCCUUACUUUCGGGUGGGCGAGUAAAGUGGCGCACGGGUGAGUAACGCGUAGAUGAUCUACCCUUGAGUUCGGGACAACCUUGCGAAAGCGGGGCUAAUACCGGAUACGAUUUUUCGGGAUGAAAGUUGGCCGCUCGAAGAAGCUAACGCUCGGGGAUGAGUCUGCGUCCUAUCAGCUAGUUGGUAGGGUAAUGGCCUACCAAGGCGACGACGGGUAGCUGGUCUGAGAGGAUGAUCAGCCACACUGGCACUGACACACGGGCCAGACUCCUACGGGAGGCAGCAGUGAGGAAUUUUGCGCAAUGGGGGAAACCCUGACGCAGCAACGCCGCGUGGGUGAUGAAGGCCUUCGGGUCGUAAAGCCCUGUCAGGUGGGAAGAAUAGCUUGGGGUCUAAUAGGCUUUAAGUAUGACGGUACCACCAGAGGAAGCACCGGCUAACUCCGUGCCAGCAGCCGCGGUAAUACGGAGGGUGCUAGCGUUAUUCGGAAUUACUGGGCGUAAAGCGCGUGUAGGCGGGGAGGUAAGUCUGAUGUGAAAGCCCUGGGCUCAACCUGGGAAGUGCAUUGGAAACUGUUUUCCUUGAGUUCCGGAGAGGAUGGGGGAAUUCCCGGUGUAGAGGUGAAAUUCGUAGAGAUCGGGAGGAAUACCAGUGGCGAAGGCGCCCAUCUGGACGGUAACUGACGCUGAGACGCGAAAGCGUGGGGAGCAAACAGGAUUAGAUACCCUAGUAGUCC